AUCCAGUUGUCUGAGAUUCAUGAAAGGGAGUGAAGGAGGACAUAGGGUAGGGAACAUCUUGGAACGAAACACAGCCUGGCGGGUUCUGCAAACAGCCUCAACCCUCGCCCAGUUAUCAGGAAACACGUUGACCCUUCACACUGCUAGUUAUCUGGCCAAUGGAAAGUCAGAUGUGUUUCAAAUCUCUAUGUAAUCUAGUGUUGUUGCAAGAGGAAGGAAGGGACAGCAAUAACAUACUGUAAGCUGUUUGUGUACAGUUUGUAAGAGUGUGCUGGAUACGUAUAUUCAAUAAAUAGAAACACUUAAUCUAUUCACCUCUAUUCAUCUGUCACGGAACAAACCUUUGACACUCAUGCCUCUCCAGAAGGAAACCCUCAGAGACGUCUGGACAGACGACAGGUCUCAAGAAAGUCAAGAUGUGUCCACUCCACAUAAGAUAAUGCUUUCUAUAAGCCAAAGAAGAAGGCAGAGUCAGCCAACCCAGCCACCAAUGGUGCCGACGCCAAGCCCAAAAAGAGCAAGAACAAGAAGAGCGAAGAACUGUCUGGAGAAGAGAGUCCUGCUGUUCAAAGUACGGACUGCUCUGCACAGUUUAAAUAACAGAAUCUUCAAAUGA
rnacentral:lncRNA from 1 species